rnacentral:rRNA from 1 species
UACGUAGGGUGCAAGCGUUAAUCGGAAUUACUGGGCGUAAAGCGUGCGCAGGCGGUUAUAUAAGACAGUUGUGAAAUCCCCGGGCUCAACCUGGGAACUGCAUCUGUGACUGUAUAGCUAGAGUACGGUAGAGGGGGAUGGAAUUCCGCGUGUAGCAGUGAAAUGCGUAGAUAUGCGGAGGAACACCGAUGGCGAAGGCAGCCCCCUGGGCUAACACUGACGCUCAGGCACGAAAGCGUGGGGAGCAAACAGG